rnacentral:rRNA from 1 species
GACGUAGGGGGCGAGCGUUGUCCGGAUUCAUUGGGCGUAAAGCGCGCGCAGGCGGCUCGGAUAGUCGGGUGUGAAAACCCGGGGCUCAACCCCGGGCCUGCAUUCGAUACUGCCGGGCUAGAGGCAGGUAGGGGAGAGUGGAAUUCCUGGUGUAGCGGUGAAAUGCGCAGAUAUCAGGAGGAACACCGGUGGCGAAGGCGGCUACCUGGACCGGAACUGACGCUGAUGCGCGAAAGCGUGGGUAGCAAACAGG